GAUGAACGCUGGCGGCGUGCUUAACACAUGCAAGUCGAACGGAAAGGCUCCUGCUUGCCGGGGCACUCGAGUGGCGAACGGGUGAGUAACACGUGGGUGAUCUGCCCUGCACUUAGGGAUAAGCCUUGGAAACUGGGGCUAAUACCGGAUAGGACCUCUUUUUGGAUGGUGUGGAGGAAAGUUAUUCGGUGUGGGUUUAGCUCGCGGAUUAUCAGCUUGUUGGUGGGGUAAUUGCCUACCAAGCCGCUGACGGGUAGCCGGCCUUGGAGGGGGUACGGCCACAUUGCGACUGAGGUACGGACCAGACGGCUACGUGCGGCAGCAGUCGGGAGUAUGACGCAAUGAGGGCGAGCCUGAUGCGGCGGCGCCGCGUGGGUGAUAACGGCCUUCUAGGUAUAAACAACUUUCGCUAGGAACGAAGCGGAAUUGACGGUACCUGGAGAGGAAGCCCCGGCUAACUACGUG
rnacentral:rRNA from 1 species